rnacentral:rRNA from 1 species
CGGGGUAGGAGUAAACGCGUGAGGAACCUGCCUCAAAGAGGGGGACAACAGUUGGAAACGACUGCUAAUACCGCAUAAGCCCACAGCUCGGCAUCGAGCAGAGGGAAAAGGAGCAUCCGCUUUGAGAUGGCCUCGCGUCCGAUUAGCUAGUUGGUGAGGUAACGGCCCACCAAGGCGACGAUCGGUAGCCGGACUGAGAGGUUGAACGGCCACAUUGGGACUGAGACACGGCCCAG